CAGGGGGUAUUUUAUAUUAAAAUAUUAGUUUUGGGUAUUAAUGAAGUGGGUGAUUAUUUCCUUUCCUCUGA
rnacentral:tRNA from 1 species